GAUGAAGAACGUAGCGAAAUGCGAUACGUAAUGUGAAUUGCAGAAUUCAGUGAAUCAUCGAGUCUUUGAACGCACAUUGCGCCCCCUGGUAUUCCGGGGGGCAUGCCUGUCCGAGCGUCAUUGCUGCCCUCAAGCACGGCUUGUGUGUUGGGCCUCCGUCCUCCUCCCGGGGGACGGGCCCGAAAGGCAGCGGCGGCACCGCGUCCGGUCCUCGAGCGUAUGGGGCUUCGUCACCCGCUCUUGUAGGCCCGGCCGGCGCUUGCCGACACAUCAAUCUUUUUUCCAGGUUGACCUCGGAUCAGGUAGGGAUACCCGCUGAACUUAAGCAUACAAUAAGCGGAGGA
rnacentral:misc_RNA from 1 species